rnacentral:rRNA from 1 species
CGGAGCUACCAUGCAGUCGAGCGGAUGAAGGGAGCUUGCUCCUGGAUUCAGCGGCGGACGGGUGAGUAAUGCCUAGGAAUCUGCCUGGUAGUGGGGGAUAACGUCCGGAAACGGGCGCUAAUACCGCAUACGUCCUGAGGGAGAAAGUGGGGGAUCUUCGGACCUCACGCUAUCAGAUGAGCCUAGGUCGGAUUAGCUAGUUGGUGGGGUAAAGGCCUACCAAGGCGACGAUCCGUAACUGGUCUGAGAGGAUGAUCAGUCACACUGGAACUGAGACACGGUCCAGACUCCUACGGGAGGCAGCAGUGGGGAAUAUUGGACAAUGGGCGAAAGCCUGAUCCAGCCAUGCCGCGUGUGUGAAGAAGGUCUUCGGAUUGUAAAGCACUUUAAGUUGGGAGGAAGGGCAGUAAGUUAAUACCUUGCUGUUUUGACGUUACCAACAGAAUAAGCACCGGCUAACUUCGUGCCAGCAGCCGCGGUAAUACGAAGGGUGCAAGCGUUAAUCGGAAUUACUGGGCGUAAAGCGCGCGUAGGUGGUUCAGCAAGUUGGAUGUGAAAUCCCCGGGCUCAACCUGGGAACUGCAUCCAAAACUACUGAGCUAGAGUACGGUAGAGGGUGGUGGAAUUUCCUGUGUAGCGGUGAAAUGCGUAGAUAUAGGAAGGAACACCAGUGGCGAAGGCGACCACCUGGACUGAUACUGACACUGAGGUGCGAAAGCGUGGGGAGCAAACAGGAUUAGAUACCCUGGUAGUCCACGCCGUAAACGAUGUCGACUAGCCGUUGGGAUCCUUGAGAUCUUAGUGGCGCAGCUAACGCGAUAAGUCGACCGCCUGGGGAGUACGGCCGCAAGGUUAAAACUCAAAUGAAUUGACGGGGGGCCGGUACAAGCGGGAGGAGCAUGGUGGUUUAAUUUCGAAGCAACCCCGAAGAAACCUUACCUGGCCCUUGGACAUGCUUGAAAAGCUUUUCCACAAUAUGGAAUUGUUGGCUUUCGCGUAGCUCA